rnacentral:rRNA from 1 species
AAUGAACGUUGGCGGCAUGGAUUAGGCAUGCAAGUCGAGCGAGAAGGAAAUCAAAGUUUACUUUGGUUUCCGGAAAGUGGCGAAAGGGAGAGUAACGCGUAGUUAUCUACCCCAAGGCCCGGAAUAGCUGCGGGAAACUGCAGGUAAUGCCGGAUAAUAUCCCCGGAUCAAAGGUGUGAUUCCGCCUUGGGAGGAGACUGCGUUGUACUAGCUCGUUGGUAGGGUAAUGGCCUACCAAGGCUACGAUGCAUAGCGGGCGUGAGAGCGUGGCCCGUCUCACUGGGACUGAAACACGGCCCAGACACCUACGGGUGGCUGCAGUCGAGAAUCUUCGGCAAUGAGCGCAAGCUUGACCGAGCGACGCCGCGUGCGGGAUGCAGGCCUUCGGGUUGUAAACCGCGAAAGUAGGGAGGAAAUCGCUGGGGGUUCUCCCCCAGUGUUGACCUAUCUUCAGUAAGGACGGGUUAAGUUCGUG